GACGAACGCUGGCGGCGUGCCUAAUACAUGCAAGUCGAGCGCAGGAAAUCGACGGAACCCUUCGGGGGGAAGUCGACGGAAUGAGCGGCGGACGGGUGAGUAACACGUAAAGAACCUGCCCUCAGGUCUGGGAUAACCACGAGAAAUCGGGGCUAAUACCGGAUGGGUCAUCGGACCGCAUGGUCCGAGGAUGAAAGGCGCUUCGGCGUCGCCUGGGGAUGGCUUUGCGGUGCAUUAGCUAGUUGGUGGGGUAAUGGCCCACCAAGGCGACGGUGCAUAGCCCACCUUAGAUGAUCAUCGGCCACACUGGGACUGAGACACGCCCCAGACUCCUACAGGAGGCAGCAGUAAGGAAUCUUCCACAAUGGACGAAAGUCUGAUGGAGCAACGCCGCGUGAACGAUGAAGGCCUUCGGGACGUAAAGUUCUGUUGUAAGGGAAGAACAAGUGCCGCAGGCAAUGGCGGCACCUUGACGGUACCUUGCGAGAAAGCCACGGCUAACUACGUGCCAGCAGCCGCAGUAA
rnacentral:rRNA from 1 species